UACGUAGGGGGCAAGCGUUGUCCGGAAUCAUUGGGCGUAAAGCGCGUGUAGGCGGUCCGGUAAGUCGGCUGUGAAAGUCCAGGGCUCAACCCUGGGAUGCCGGUCGAUACUGUCGGGCUAGAGUGCGGAAGAGGCGAGUGGAACUCCUGGUGUAGCGGUGAAAUGCGCAGAUAUCAGGAGGAACACCAAUUGCGAAGGCAGCUCGCUGGGACGUAACUGACGCUGAGACGCGAAAGCGUGGGGAGCAAACAGG
rnacentral:rRNA from 1 species